GGUUUGGUGUAAGAUGUUGAUACAUGCAGAAGAAACAGCCAAAGGGGGUUCAUCACAGCGGCCUUCAGUUGUAAUAUUAAGAGAGAUACUUGAAUAUGAGUCCAACUAGUAAAUAAAAUGCAGGCUUAAACCACAUCCAUGUAUCAAGACUUCCACUGAGAUCAGCAAUGUGUCAUUUCUAUGAAACCAUGUAGCUCCAAUGAUAGUUGUACACAAUAGCGCUAUACACAGUUGCAAUGUGUGGACAAACCAUAGACUGUAUAUAGAAUAGACACUGUCUGCCUCCUUGCCGGGUGAAGCCACUGUGAGAACAGCACCCUCUUGUGACGGGCUGCAGUAUAGGUCGUAAAUCCCGCUUCCUCCAGCAAUCCCUAUGGAGUUGUGGUAAAACUUAAGAAAGUAAUUACACAGAAUAUAGACUUGUGAAAUAGAGUUUGCUUUAAACGCAUGAUUAUGACCUCAUGAGGGAGAACGAUGUCCAAAGCAGCACUGCUGGGCUUGUCCACGUCUUUUUAAAUCCUGACAACAAACUUCACCACAAAAAGGUGAGACAAUAAAAAACAAGAAUGUAAAGAAUAAAUAAGUGAAUAAACAGAUCAAUGAUUAACUAGCGGAAAGAUCAAAGCAUGUGCCUGAAUAGAAAAUUAAUCUGUAAAAAGUAAAAUACUGUACCUCUUUCUGCAUUCAUACUGAUGUACUAUGUAUUAGUUGCAUUGGUGCAUCACAAAUUUAUUUUUAGAUGACACUACAAAUGUGUCUUAUACAGAGUUUUAUGCAAUAAAAAGCUUUGACUGUAUACUGAAUGGACAUCACGCCUCAGUCUCCUCCCCCUGUGAAAAAGAAGUAACUUUUUAGAGAGCAGGUUUGACUACAAAAAGCCCCCGUAGAUUAAAACACCCGCUUUGCCUCAUGUUCUCAGAUCUGAAGGUGAGCUCGAACCACUCUUGUUGAAGGGCCGGUACUGAGUCAUUAAAAGUUUAAUAUCUGAGAGGAAGAGCACUGCCAGUGUUAGGCUCUCCGUUCUUUGUGUUGUGACCUCCUGCAGAUAAAAACACGCAGCAGUCACAGUGUUGAGUUUCACGAGGAAGCAGAUCAGACGGCAAAUCACUGAAACGAGCUGCGGCUAACGUCAAUCGUUGGGGAUUAGUUUGAGUGCUGUGCUCGUGUUUCAAAGAGCUUUCCUCAUCUCUAAACUGGUCCUGAUCGCCACUAUCUGUCGGAUGAUCUGCUAUUACAGGCUGGUGAUACUACAGCCUCACAUUUGGUCACCUUAACCUGUUCAUUAACCUGCUUCUUUUAGCAUUUUGUUUAUUUUGCUGUUGUUUUUUAUGGCAAAGGUCACAUUGAAGAUAGUAGUUGGUAUUUUUACUGUGAAGUAAAAGCCUCACAUUGAGUCCUGUUAUCUUCGUCUGAUUACAACCUCUCUGUGGGUUUCCUCAAACUCACUCGUAUUCACUUCACACUCUCAGGUGUUGAUGUUUCCUCUCUGUGCAGUAGUCUGCAGUGUGCAGUUCAGCAGGUUCUGUGUCUGGCUGCUGUUUUAGUAUGAUUAGAGCAAUGCAAACAACAUGCUAAUGAAACAUGGGUAAUGGGUAUAAUUAAUCAGACUUUGGUCAGAGUGUUGAUUUGUCGGCUCUGAUGAAAAUUAAUACACUGACGCAUGAAUUUGACACCCUUCCAGAGAAUCAUUAAGACUGAAAUUAAAUUUACAUUGAAACAGAGAUGACAUUUUCCAGAUAAAAGAUAAACAGACUUGUGUGCACAUUACGUAGAGCACUAAUUUGGUUUUUAUGACACCAAAGGAUGUAAGAAUAUAACACUUUGUAAUUGUGUGCUCUGCUCUUACCAACCUUCUCUUUCCUUCCUUUUCAAGCAGGAUUUUUUGGGGGCAUUUAAGUUUCCUGGAGUAUUACAAAUGCUGUACUUAAAUCCCCUCAGGCUUACUGUACUUUUACAGCAAAAGAGCUAGAAGCACAGUUCAGUUUGUUGUUUAUCACUUUAUGAUGCACCAAAUGUUUUGAAUAGAUGACAAAUCAGGACUUAAUGUAGGCCUAACACCUGGACUCUUCUACCAGGGUGACCAUAUGUCCUCUUUUACCCGGACAUGUCCUCUUUUGGGGGGCUGUCUGGCCUACCCAGGGGCGAUGUUUUUUUUUUGUAGGAUGGUAGGAAAGAGUCCUGCCUCCUUCGCCUCUGAUUGGCUCAAAAAGCUGGAAACGUCAUCACACACUCAAGCCAAACGCAGGCUGUUGGCUCUGUACAUCAAACAGAACAUUAUUGCACUUCUGAAUCUCCUAACCCUAACCCUAACCCUAACUCGACGGACAACGCAUUCACAGCCGUUAGGAGUAACCAAUCAGAGCCCAGCACCCAAUCAGAGGCAAAGAAGGGUCUAACAACAAAAAAUUUCGCUACCUAGGGGCAGUUUAUAAAAUGUAUUUUAAAUGUCCAGGGUUUUCUAUGGAAGCCCAUUUUUCUUUUCAAUGGCAGGAAUGGGAUUCCAUAGCUUUGAGUUUGUGUAGCGUGUACUUUAUCUUCGCACCACAGACCAUUAUAUUUGCCUUUCAUGUUCAAUGGUUUAUUUGGAAACACACUCUGAGAGACAGAACCCUGGAACAUGUAUUCAUUCAUUGUAAAACAGUGCAGCGCAUCAGUGCUCUCUGCUGCUCUGCUCCUCCGAUCAGUUCUAAACAAAGCCACUGACGAGACGCACGCAUGCACUGUCCGCCAGUAAGCGAAAGAAAAAGGAGAAAUAUUUGUAUGUGACUGAUAAUUUUGUUGUGGAGAAAUGCUUUAGAAAUGAAUAUAUUGUUUAUAAACGCAACUUUGUGUGAGUAUUUUUCAGUACCUCCAAGAGGCCUGGUUAAGUGUCUUUUUGGUAAUUCAAAAUACACGUUUAACUGAGUUAGAAGCGCAUAAAAUGACACUUGACCCAACCUGAAAAACCCUCAAAAUUUUGCAUGUGUGCGCAUAACUCCUUCUACCUCUACUCCAGAGCCAGACUGUUGUACUGAAUGCAGGAUGUGGUUUGGCAUCAUCUUGAAGGCAGCAUAUGUUGCUCUAAAACUUGUAUAUAUUGAUCAGCAUCAAUUAUGCUUUCCCAGAUGUGUAAGUUAUCCAUGCCAUGGGAUCCCCACAGUUCCGCUAACAAGCCAGGUAGUCGCAGUAAACAAGACUCAGCUUCCAAAAAGAAUAUCAGGUGAUAUUUAUUUACCACACAAAAGUUUUUCUACCCCCUCAGCCCAUCCGGAUCAAUUUUGCUUUCCCCUUUGCAUGUUACAUUUCUAACCUGAGUUUGCAGGUUAAAAAGUGAUAGUAAAGUGAUACAAUGUGUUCACAGAACAUGUUUUUGGGAAGUGAUGAGAACCCAUGCAGUGAUUUCCAGUAUAGAGUCAUGUCUGUUUUAUUUGCCAAAGGGCCUGAAUCACAUCCAUCUGGUAUCGGUUUUUGGGCCUCGUCUUGUUUGUACACAGAUUUGUUGAAAAAUGUAGAAGUGUUUGCACAUGCAACCUCUCCCCAUCCUUACUUAGUGAGGACUCAGCCCCUGUGGUCUGUCGUUUCUAUACCCGGUCAUGUUCAUAUACUGUAUAACUAGUUACUCUUAUUAACUGUGAAUUAUUCCUCCAGUUUUUUUUCUUUUUUAAUCACAUCUUUCUUUCUCAUGACUUUCUCAUGAUCCCAACAUUCAAAAUUAGGAUUGCGCAGCGGUGCUGUUUAGGUCCAAUUAUUAACUCAAGUGGUGUUUUGCAGUGUAUUUUUUGUGACAGGUUCCCAAUGCAUGAUCAGUUUUCACCUUAAGUACUCUUGGACCUAAGACUGAACCAUCUUUGAAAAUAAUGCGUGCUUUCCCUGUUCAAUGUGAGCGUAUGGGUGCACUGUCAACAGUCAGCCAGUUAAACUAAGGUGAAACUUCACUUUGGCGUGUUUUGCACCUGUUCCUUCACCUCACAUUGACACUUCCUGCAGCUGAAUGCCACCCACAUGUUGCUGCUCUGCUCAUGGCUUACUGGGUCUGACCACAUGUGUUUAAUUAGAGUUCCAGUAAACUGAAUUGGCAAACACAUCCAGCCUGAUUUCUGCUGCUGAAACAGCCUAUGGGUUUCUAUGAUGUCUAAUUACAUAGUGAGACAGGAGUAAUUGUGAUAAUAAGUAAUGUGUUUAGAUUGUGCAGAAGUCGGUCCAGAUGUCAAACAGCUGUUUUCUCCAGUUUUUCUUACUUUACAUGGUGUUGUGAGUGCUGCUGUCAGGUCAGCUCAUAUCUUCAUGUAAAUUUCAGCUCCUAAGAGUCAAUGCAUCUCUCUCCUCUGCACAUACUGUAAAUUCAAAGUGAUGUGAAUUACAUUGUCCCAUGUAAAGCAGGGAGUGUUUCUGACAUGAUGGCAGCACGGAGUCUCACAGUAGCAUUAUUGUACAGUAGAAUAGAAACAAGGCUGUUAGGAGGCUGACUCAGAUUAUCUCUGUUAUCAGUGAACUCCCGCUUUACAUGCCGUAUAUGAAGCAGCACAUGGGGCAUAUAGACAAGGAUGCCACCUGUCCACUCAUGUAAAAACAUCAGAGGGAAAAAAAAAGAUCCCCCAUGAUUAAAGAGACUGGAGUUUACACAUACUUUUUAGCAUCUUAAGAGCAAAAGGUGGUUAUGAUAUCAAACAAGAGAUAAUCUUCAUAGGGUAGCAUCUGAUCUGAGUUGAGCUUUAAAAACCAAACAGGUACGUCCACGUCUUCAGUAAUAUAGAGGCUGAUCCUACACGAUUAUGUACUUUUCUGUCUUAUUGUUGUUUCACCCAGGAACCCUCAAUAACUCUGCACACGUGUAGAGCAAGUACAGUAUAGUUCCCAAAAGACAUCCAUGAAGUUAAGAAGUGAAGCCUUGGUUCUAUGUUGCUAAAAAAAGGCCUCUAGCUGCUCUUUUUUUGUUUUCAAAUUUAACAUAAACUUGUAAAAGAAAACAUCCUGAGACUAUCUUUCAGCAGAGACUCAUUCUCAACCUGUCACAUGCUACACAUGUUGUUAUUUAAUAAAAACUGUAAUUGCGAAAAACUUAAGCCCUAGACGUAAAAUGUAAACGUAAAUGAAAAUCAUGUUUUUCUCGUCGUCUACAUGUUCAUAUGGCAUUUUUCUGAUGCUACAGGACAUAUUAUGAGAAAAUUAAGUGUGAAAUUACAUUUUUGAGUAUUCAAAUUGCUGUGAAUCUCUGGCAGGCUCAGAUACAGUGAGAUUUCCUAUGUAGCAAAUCCAAGCUCCGCUAAGCAGGCCACAGUCGGAAAACUAGAAAAGACAAUUGCAGAACAACUGUGUUAGUGGAUUGCAAUGCUCAUAAGAAAGCUAAUUACGAUAUUAACUUUCAUCAUGUCUCCAAAAACAAUAGUGUCUGAGAGCUGAAUAGCUCUUAUGUUACUUCCCUCUUCUAGUACAAUGUUAGGCUACAAGCUAACUCGAGAAGAAGUGUGCAGAGCAGCGCUGUCUCCGCCCACGACUCAGAGGUGAAUUGCUAAUAAUCUACUGGAGCUUUGCAGAUGUAAAGUCCUUAAAAGUGAAACGGGUAACAUGAUUUUGGCUAAAAAUUUCAUAAUCACAAUUUAAAGACCACUGAGCACACUUUCAGUAGUAAAAAUAAAUAAAUAAAUAAAUAAAAUAAUCGGAGUGGGACUUUAAGCUCAUGCUGUGACUUCCACUGUUGAGCCGUGUCUCUUUGAGCCACACGGUAUCAGCUUUUGGUCCUUGUCUCAUUUUGAACAGAUGUUUCUCAAGAUUCACUGAAUCUUUUCAUAAAUUUUAUCCACUGCAGCUGAUGAAAUCCUGAAGUUCUCUUAAAUUUCAGAUGAAGGAAUAUUAGACUAAUAAUGCUGAAUCACCUGCUCACACAGUCUCUCACAGAGUCGUGAAAACUACCAUCUGUAUGCCUGAGAGACUUGACCUCCCCAGAUUGCCCUUUUUCAUGGUCUAAUCAUAAUAAUGACUUCACUCAAGCAAAAGAAUUUCAACUUCUAACAUCAAAGGCAUCUUCUGCUGAGUUAAACAAGAUUUCAUAACAAAGGAAAGCCAUAACUCUGCUGCAAGACAACAUAUUUUUGUACGUAUUAAAUUCAAAAAGUUGCAAGAAGACUUGUUUCCUAAUUUCCAGAAGUAGAAAAAGAGGCCCAGUGUCUCUUUGGACAUUUGCUCUCUAUCUCUGUGGCUGAUUAACAGUUGUGCUACAGUGUGUCAGAUUAUCAUGGUUUAAAUGGUUUAUGACCUGGAAUUAAGCAUAAAGACAUGAUAGCAUCUGUGUAGCAAUGAAAAGAGACUGUGUGGUGCUGCAUUAUUUAGCCAAGGCGCAGCAAAGGAAUAGAAAAUAAAAUGGGACCUAAAAUGGAACCUUGCGGUACACCACAAGUAAUGGCAGAGAUAGAAAAGGAGUAAUUACUUAUGGUGACCACAAAGGUUCGCCCUUUCAUCUGAUCUCUGGGCUUCAGGUCUCUGUUGAUGUGGUUGAGUUUCUUUGUUGCUGGGGUUAAUUUUGGGUUUUCUAGAUUAUUCUGUUUUUUGUGUGUCUUAGCGCCAUUUAAUGCUCUUGGUUUCUUAAUAUGUUUUUAGGGUUCUGAUAUUUUUCAGAUGAACUUUUCAUGAGUUUCUUUUUUUGUUUUUGGGUGUUAUUAACAUUAUUUUUAUUAACUUGUAUUUAAUGUUGCUGUCAUUAAAAGUAUAUCGACACACAAAAUAGAAGUUCAAACUCAAAGCAGUAAUCUGCAAGCUGCUAUGCUUGUAAUUUAUGUUGGUUUUAAAUGUGGUUUAAAGAGAGGAUUUAAAUCUCUUAAAGUUUGCAACUAACCUUGAAUGACCCGUAGCUCUUGGGUGCCAAAUAUGGUCCCUGACCUUUAAUCUCUGAGGUCAGAUUUUGAUUCACUGUAUAAAAAAUUAGGAAUUAAGCACCAAGAAGGCCAGGAGAUAAAAGUUCAAGACAAAUUUGGCAGGUUAAAUAACACCUUUGCAAGCUUUAAUGAGUUUAUUCUGCUGCUGUGCACAGAAAGGUUUUAAGAUGUCAUUAUGAAUUCUUGAAGCAGAUUCUGUCUAAUACUUUGCUGGGUUUGUGACACGGCUUAAAGGGAUUGAGUUCAUGAGACGUAAUCCAUGUUCAGACCAAGAUGCUUUCUUUUAUUUUGACCUUUCAUUGAGAGCCGCCCUGACCUCCACAUUCAUACCUGUGCAGAGGAGCUGCAGACUUCAAAGGCUCCGAAAUGAAAUAAUACAGCUUUAAAUACGUGCGGGACGUGACAGGCUCUUAUUAGUUUAGGAAAUAAAUUGGGUAAGUCUGGAGCGUUUAUAUGGAAAGAUCAAUACACUCAGCUACAUUUACUCCAUAAUCACUCAUAUUAACUUAGAACAGACUCUUUUAGUGGGAAGAUUUCAUAACUUUGUGAAUAAAUCAAACUGUAGUUUUGUUAUCAGGAUCCAGCUAUGGAUCAUCGCAAGGCA
rnacentral:lncRNA from 1 species